CUCUCAAGAGGACCAGGGCACCAGCAGCCAGCUAGUCUCAUCCAACACCUUUCCCUGCCCUGCCUCAGUGUCCACACACAGGAAGCCUAGGCACCCAGGGCCCACCUUCACCUGUGGUCCUUAGCCCCAGUAAGACCCCUGCCUGUAUUUGCCUGCAAACAAAAUGAGUGCACAGCAUGGUCCUUCAUCCCCCCAACCCCCAGUAGUAGCAAAAGGCAAGGGAUGCAGACUCCACCCCUUGAGGGCCCCGCCUCUGCUUUCCUGCUGGCCGUCCAGUGAGGUCCAGUGAGCGUAGGUUUAAGUCAUUAGGUAAGAGUGAGAAACCCUCCUUCCAGGCCACCAUUUGUUCCCUGAGGUAGAACAUGGUUUUCUCUGUACUCCAAGCAUAGCUACUCCUGGAGGCCUAACUCUCUGGGUCUCCAGCCCCUUUACUAUGCUGAGAUGGGCCUUUCUCUGGGGUCCUUAACAUUUCCACUCAGAGCAGUCAACAGCCUUCUUCCUGUGGGAUCCUCUCACAGGGUCCUUCUCUGCCUGGCACUCUAGGGAUGACCCUUCCAGACCCUCUGACCCCACGAAAGGACACAGGCCCCUUCCCCAGUAGUCUUCACACAGCUGAGGCCAGUCUCUCAGCCCAGGGGUGCCUAGGUCAGCUUUAUGAGGUCCUGAAUUCCAGGCCUUGAAAUGAGGAUCACAAACUCUGGCAUUUCCUGUGUCCCCAACAGACCAGGCCUCAGCUCUUAUACCCCACCAGCAUCUACCUUCUCUGUAUUCUCUUGCCACUGUCCUCAGCCCCUUUGCUGUCCAGGCUUUCACCCCUGGCCCCUCACCCCAUCUCUGCAGCCCCAGAGUUCCCAUCCUGUUUGCAAAUGCCACUGUGUACCCUCCUCCCUUCCUGCCGGAUGUUCCCACUGAGUCAGACUGUACUUUCCCAGCAACAGUGACGCACCCUAGCUCCUAGCUCCUAGAUCGCUCCCUCUCUGUCUCCCUCCCCUCUUUGUCUACACACACACACACACACACACACACACACACACUCCACACGCACAUGUGCCCGCACAUGUCUCUUCCUCUCUCCCACCUUCUCUGCACACUGCACCCUGCCCCCCAAAUACUGCUGAGUUCAGCCCUACCCCACAGGUCUCUAGAAGUCUCAAGCUUCCCAUUAUACCUGGCCCCUGCUAUGCUUCAUUCAGCAAGGAAGUCCCCAGAGCCCAGUCCUAGAAAGAAAGAGACCUAACGCUGUCUACUCCUUUUGCAAGUUUAGUCCCUUGACCAGGUUCAGGGAGGGGGGAUGUGGAUAGACUACAGAGAUAAGGCAGGGUCUUUAUCCCUCUCAGCUCCUGCUCCUGGCCAGGUUCAGGAGGCACCCACAGAAAUCUGGCUACCCUAAAGAGAGGAUGACCCAGACCCCUGGAAGGACUGCAGGAAGAUAUCCUGAAUGUAGAAACAAAAUCUUCCCAGCUAUCUGGCUGAAGAGCCAUGUGCCCAGAACAAACCUACAGUCAAGACCAAACCCACAGUUGCUCACCAUGAACUUUCAAGUGUCACUCACACAGGUUGUCAUACUUUUGAGCAACCCUCCACAUUCGUUCUUCUACCACUUUCUCCACAACCCACCAUUUGCCUGUCUGCUCUCACAAAUGCCCUGAGACUCCCCAAGGCCUGGCCUGGGGCCACCAUGCCGCAGAACCUCAUUGCCCGCAGGGUGAGUAUGUGAGUAUGGAAAUAGCCAGCACCCUGUGGGCACCCUGUGUACAGGCUGUGAUUGCCUUUCUGUCCACUAGAAUGCACACACGCCGAAGAGGGCAGGCCUGGAAGGGAGACCUCAGAGUGCUUGAAGAAGGACUGGAGGGACUUGUCCUGAUCAGGCUCCAAAAUCUGGGCCCCACCUUACCAAAAGCACACACGCCACAGCAGGGUGACGUAUGGAGGAAGCAUGUGACCUGCCUGAGAUUCUCUGUUUUCCAACACCCCAGGCUGCAGUGCCCAUUCUGAGGACACACCCAGUCUGUGUGUUCCUCAGUUUCAAUCCUAACCGUGGGAGGUGAACCCUGGGGGGGGGACUGAAUUCCUGGGGACUCCUUGGGUUGGGGCUCUGUUCUUUGUGACAGGGAGACAGACUCAGUUUUUCCCCAAAACCCUGCAUUUCCUACCUAAUGCCACCCUUGGAAGAGGCUGAGUGCUGCCUUCAUCAGGAUCUGCCCAUCACAUGCUAUUGGCAAGAUAUCUACUAAGGGCUCUCUCUCUCUCUCUCUCUCUCUCUCUCUCUCUCUCUCUCUGUGUGUGUGUG